rnacentral:rRNA from 1 species
GACGAACGCUAGCGGCGUGCCUAAUACAUGCAAGUCGAGCGAGACUCUUCGGAGUCUAGCGGCGGACGGGUGAGUAACACGUGGGCAACCUGCCUGUAAGACUGGGAUAACACCGGGAAACCGGUGCUAAUACCGGAUAAUCCUUUUCCUCUCAUGAGGGAAAGCUGAAAGUCGGUUUCGGCUGACACUUACAGAUGGGCCCGCGGCGCAUUAGCUAGUUGGUGAGGUAACGGCUCACCAAGGCGACGAUGCGUAGCCGACCUGAGAGGGUGAUCGGCCACACUGGGACUGAGACACGGCCCAGACUCCUACGGGAGGCAGCAGUAGGGAAUCUUCCACAAUGGACGAAAGUCUGAUGGAGCAACGCCGCGUGAGCGAUGAAGGCCUUCGGGUCGUAAAGCUCUGUUGUUAGGGAAGAACAAGUACCGGAGUAACUGCCGGUACCUUGACGGUACCUAACCAGAAAGCCACGGCUAACUACGUGCCAGCCGCCGCAGUAAGAC